GGCUUAAUGAUUAUAAUUUUAAGUCAAUCUGCCCAAUGAUUUUUAAAUUUAAUGGCUGCAGUAUAAUUGACUGUACAAAGGUAGCAUAAUCAAUUGUUUCUUAAUUAGGAACUGGAAUGAAAGAAUUAAUGAGAUAUAUACUGUCUCAUAUAUAUUUAAUUAAAUUAAAAUUUUAGUAAAAAUGCUGAAAUGAUUUUAUGGGACGAUAAGACCCUAUAGAAUUUUAUAUUAAUAUGUAAAUUUAAUUAAUUUUUUUAUAUUAAUAUUUAAUUGGGAGGAUUAAUAAAUUAAUUUAACUUUAUUUUAAAUAUAAACUUUGAUUAAAGAAUUUUUAUUGAUCUUAUAUUAUAAAUAAUAAGAAUAAAUUACCUUAGGGAUAACAGCGUAAUAUCUUUUUAAAGAUCAAAUUGAUAAAGAUGAUUGCGACCUCGAUGUUGAAUUAAGAUAAAUUUUAAAUGGAGAAAUUUAAUAAUUAAGUCUGUUCGACUUUUAAAAUCUUACAUGAUUUGAGUUCAAAUCGACGUGAGU
rnacentral:rRNA from 1 species